rnacentral:tRNA from 1 species
UGCCGGAUGGUGAAAUGGCAUCACAGAGGCCUUUGAAGCCUUUGUUCCAGGUUCGAAUCCUGGUCCGGCAACUA